AUGCGAAUGGGUCUAGAUACGCCAAAUGGUAAUGGAAAUGGGAUGUGGCGAAAGCAGUAGAUCAGUUUCCAUCUCAUCGCCGCUUCAAUCGGUACUGUCCAGGACUCUCUCUACACCGACUUGACAAGUGUCUGAAUCACUGGGCGCUGCAGUCGGGAUGACAUAUGGAGGCAGGGAGACCCAGCGACACGCAGCCGACAAUCGAUUAAUCAGCGAAAAAUAAUAAGAAACACGUUCGUUCCUCCCCGCCGAAAAUCCUGACCCCCGUCUCCCCAGAGAUCCCGUAGAUGGAGAUGCAACUGCAGUCGAGAAUUGGAAUCGGAAUCCCUGAAUGCGGAACUGAUGUCGCUCGAGCACUCAAAAAAUGGGAAACUCCAACAUUUCGGGCAGACCAAUAAAUAAAAAGCAGCACCAUCCAAGGCAGAGCUAUGACAAAAAUUUUUAGAUGAAUAAAACUUUGGGUCGAGUUGGCUCUACUGAUGUAUUUUUACUGGGCGGGGGAUAG
ensembl:ncRNA lncRNA:CR44931 long non-coding RNA:CR44931